rnacentral:rRNA from 1 species
CGGAAGCCUGAUCCAGCAAUGCCGCGUGAGUGAAGAAGGCCUUCGGGUUGUAAAGCUCUUUCAGUCGAGAAGAAAAGGUUGUGAAUAAUAAUCACAAUUUAUGACGGUAUCGACAGAAGAAGCACCGGCUAACUACGUGCCAGCAGCCGCGGUAAUACGUAGGGUGCAAGCGUUAAUCGGAAUUACUGGGCGUAAAGGGUGCGCAGGCGGCUUUGUAAGUCAGAUGUGAAAUCCCCGGGCUUAACCUGGGAAUUGCGUUUGAAACUACAAGGCUAGAGU